rnacentral:rRNA from 1 species
CACAGGGAUUGCCCUAGUUAACGGCGAGUGAAGCGGCAANAGCUCAAAUUUGAAAUCUGGUCCUUUUAGGGCCCGAGUUGUAAUUUGUAGAGGGUGCUUUGGCGUUGGCUGCUGGUCUAAGUUCCUUGGAACAGGACGUCGCAGAGGGUGAGAAUCCCGUAUGUGGCCGCCAGCCUCCGCCGUGUAAAGCCCCUUCNACGAGUCGAGUUGUUUGGGAAUGCAGCUCUAAAUGGGAGGUAAAUUUCUUCUAAAGCUAAAUAUUGGCCAGAGACCGAUAGCGCACAAGUAGAGUGAUCGAAAGAUGAAAAGCACUUUGGAAAGAGAGUCAAAAAGCACGUGAAAUUGUUAAAAGGGAAGCGCUUGCAGCCAGACUUGCCUGUAGUUGCUCAUCCGGGCUCUUGCCCGGUGCACUCUUCUAUGGGCAGGCCGGCAUCAGUCCGGGCGGUUGGAUAAAUGCCUGCUAAAUGUACCUCUCCUCGGGGAGGACUUAUAGGGCAGGCGGCAUGCAACCAGCCUGGAUUGAGGUCCGCGCAUCUGCUAGGAUGCUGGCGUAAUGGCUGUAAGCGGCCCGUCUUGAAACACGGACCAAGGAGUCUAACAUCUAUGCGAGUGUUUGGGUGUAAAGCCCGAGCGCGUAAUGAAAGUGAACGGAGGUGGGAACCCCUCGGGGCGCACCAUCGACCGAUCCUGAUGUCUUCGGAUGGAUUUGAGUAAGAGCAUAGCUGUUGGGACCC